rnacentral:lncRNA from 1 species
AUCGAGGUGUACACACUUAACGCAGCCAGUAAAACGUCAGCAGCCCUGAAGAUGCGCGCUGGACUCGAAGAGGAGUUCACACUCCCGGCCUGCAGGGGGCGCCCUGUCCUGCCCCUUUGGUUUGGGCCUUCCACCAUGGGAUGACACAGCAAGAAGGCCCUUGCCAGAUGCCAGCACUUUCAUAUGGAACUUCCCAGACCCCAGGACCAUGAGAAAUAAAUUUCUAUUGUUUAUA